UACGUAGGGGGCUAGCGUUGUCCGGAAUCAUUGGGCGUAAAGAGCGUGUAGGCGGCCCGGUAAGUCCGCUGUGAAAGUCGGGGGCUCAACCCUCGAAUGCCGGUGGAUACUGCAGGGCUAGAGUACGGAAGAGGCGAGUGGAAUUCCUGGUGUAGCGGUGGAAUGCGCAGAUAUCAGGAGGAACACCGGUGGCGAAGGCGGGUCUCUGGGCCGAUACUGACGCUGAGGAGCGAAAGCGUGGGGAGCGAACAGG
rnacentral:rRNA from 1 species